rnacentral:rRNA from 1 species
UACAGAGGUCUCAAGCGUUGUUCGGAUUCAUUGGGCGUAAAGGGUGCGUAGGCGGCGCGGUAAGUCGGGUGUGAAAUCUCGGAGCUUAACUCCGAAACUGCAUUCGAUACUGCCGUGCUCGAGGACUGGAGAGGAGACUGGAAUUUACGGUGUAGCGGUGAAAUGCGUAGAUAUCGUAAGGAAGGCCAGUGGCGAAGGCGGGUCUCUGGACAGUUCCUGACGCUGAGGCACGAAGGCCAGGGGAGCAAACGGG